UUCAUUGAUCCCUAUCUAAAUACGUGCAUAUUUGUUUCCGUUUCAGCACCAAUUGGUCUGGUCUUGUAGAUUAUUUCAGUUUAGGAAAGUAUUUGUUGAAUCAUUAACAGGUUUGGAAGAGCCUUUGCGAACGAAAGGAAAAACGGUGGUUUGAUGCAUUCUGAAAAUGAGUAUUUUUCUAUAUUAUCAAGCGUUACUAAUGAUCCUCAGCAACAACCACACGUCCGUGAUGGCAUCUACAGAGGAAGCAAAUGAAGCGAGCGGUUGUGGAGAGAACCUGUACAUGGUCCAGCAACAAGAGCUACUGGAGCAAUGUCAUCCAGUCCUGGGCUGACGAGGUGAAGGACUUCCAGUAUGGAGUGGGAUCAUGAAAGGGCGGUGUUCAUCGGCCACUACACACAGUGGAAACUACAGCUACACCUAACCCUACAAGUCAGGAUGCACCUGUGGGGACUCUUCUGGUGCCUGUGAUAACAAACUGUGCACAAACCCAUGCCCCUAUGCUGAUAAGUACACCAACUGUGCUGAAGUGGUCGUGCAACCGCGCUGCAGCAACAGUGAUGUCACCUCCUGGUGUCCUGCUUCCUGAAAUUGCACCGAUCAGAUUGUCUGAUCAUCCAGAGACACAUGCUGACCAAUCAGCCUGAUUGGACACAACAAUCUCCUACUAAAGCUGAUCAUGAUGAAGGUGUCAUCCAUUCUGUCAUAAUGGUCCUUUGGUUAAGUUGUUAAAAACACAAGAUGCAACUAUGCAAUGAAGAAAUUUAAUGAAACUGAUGUGAUUUAAGGAACAAUACUCACUCUCUCCCUUUCAGGCCUUUGGCUGCUUCUCUCCCAGUCUUUUCCAAACUGUUUUCAGGUCAGGUAGGGUAAAGAGCCCAUAGUAAAUUCCCCUCUGGCACACAAUGAUCUUGGCAAAACAGUACCCAAAGGGACAACAUGUACCUGAUGACUACAUCUGAGGUGUUAGAUGAGGGGGAGGGAUGAAC